UAAUGAUAGUAAUGUGUGUGUGGUAAUGUGUUUCUGAAUCACAAGUAAGAAAUUUGGUAUCUGCUGGCCGGGCUCACGUAGAUAUUUCCCCUAAUUUGUUGGUGUCUGUGUGUGUGUAGGAGCGGGAUACUGAGAGGCAGAGGGUUGAUGAGCUGUUAGAGAUGAAUAUGGGCCUGGAGGCGGAGCUUAGACAAGAGCUUAGACAUAACAACAACAAUACAGGCACGAUGACAGCGGCUCCACAUUUCCACCAAUUGGAGGUGGAGUCUGACGAGGAGGCUGGGCUAAGAGUGGAGCUAAGAGAAGAGAUUGAUCUGAAGCCUCUGAGUGUGGAGGUGGGCGAGGCAUCGUCACUGAGGCUUCUGGGAGCUGAGAAUGAGAACGCUGAGCUGAGGAGACGCCUGGAGGACCUGCAGUCCGAACAGGAGUUCAGGGGUCAGAGGCAAGCUGAUUUGCCGGAGGUGAGGGAGGAGCUGGCCUGUCUGGAGGCAGAACACCAGAAUACGCUAAGAGAGGUGAGUUGAUGUGACCGACUGUGUUAACCCUCUGAGCUAAAGCCUAGGCAUUAGGAGGCUAACAAAAGUCUUUAGGUCUAAGAGAACGCUAUUCAUCAUGUGGGUCACUAAACCGUUACCGUGCAUUCAGAAAGUAUUCAGACCCCUUCCCUUCCUUUUCCCACAUUCUGUUACAGCCUUAUUCUAAAAUGAACUCAAUUUAAAAAAAUACCCCAUAAUAAAAUACCCCAUAAUGACAAAGCGAAAACAGGUUUUUAGAAAUGUUUGCAAUUUUUUUUUUUAAAUAAACAGAAAUACCUUAUUUACAUCAGCCUGUCAGACCAUGAGAAACAAGAAUCAAGUGUCACAUCUGGAGGAAACCUGGCACCAUCCGUACAGUGAAGCAUGGUGGUAGCAUCAUGUUGUGGGGAUGUUUUUCAGCGGCAGGGACUGGGAGACUAGUCAGGAUCGAGGGAAAGAUGAACGGAGCAAAGUACAGAGAGAUCCUUAAUGAAACCUGCUCCAGAGCGCUCAGGACCUCAGACUGGGGCGAAGGUUCAUCUUCCAACAGGACAACGACCCUAAGCACACAGCCAAGACAACACAGGAGUGGAUUCGGAGUGGAUUCGGGACAAGUCCCUGAAUGUCCUUGAGUGGCCCAGCCAAAGCCUGGACUUGAACCCGUUCGAACAUUUCUGGCAUCAUACCCAAGGAGACUCAAGGCUGAAAUCACUGCAAUCACUACCAAAAGGGUCUUAAUACUUCUAUAAAUGUGGUAUUUCAGUUUUUUAUUUUUAAUACAUUUGCAAAAAUAUCAAAACACCUGUUUUUUCUUUGUCAUUAUGGGGUAUUGUGUGUAGAUUUAUGAGGGGAAAAAGUAUUCAAUAAAUUUUAGAAUAAGGCUGUAAUCUAACAAAAUGUGGAAAAAGUCAAGGGGUCUGAAUACUUUCCGAAGGCACUGUAUCUAGAUGUGACCUCACUGUGUCGUCUGACAUGUAUCUAGAUGUGACCUCACUGUGUCGUCUGACAUGUAUCUAGAUGUGACCUCACUGUGUCGUC
rnacentral:lncRNA from 13 species